rnacentral:tRNA from 1 species
CGGAUAGUAGUUCAGUUGGAAGAACAACCAUUGCGGUAACGGUAGUAGGUGGAGUCACAGGUUCGAUUCCUGUCUAUCCGA